GGGACGGUAGCUCAGAUGGUUAGAGCUCUGACGGUAAGCGGGCCCGCUUAGGCCGUGCAGGUGCGUUGGUUCAACUCCAACCCGUUCCA
rnacentral:tRNA from 1 species